UGGGAUGUAGUUCAGUUGGUAGAACGUCUGCCUCAUACGCGGAAGGUCGCAAGUUCAAUCCUUGCCAUUCCAA
rnacentral:tRNA from 1 species